UACGUAGGUGGCAAGCGUUUGUCCGGAUUUACUGGGCGUAAAGAGCGCGCAGGCGGUCGUUCAAGUCGCGUGUGAAAGCCCCCGGCUCAACUGGGGAGGGUCACGCGAUACUGAUCGACUCGAAGGCAGGAGAGGGAAGUGGAAUUCCCGGUGUAGUGGUGAAAUGCGUAGAUAUCGGGAGGAACACCAGUGGCGAAGGCGGCGAUCUGGGAAGAUACUGACGCUGAGGUGCGAAAGCGUGGGGAGCAAACAGG
rnacentral:rRNA from 1 species